CCUGCAUAAGACAGGUAUCUUGCUGUCCAGGAAGUAAUUCUUGCAGAAAUCUUAUCAACCAGAGGUUGCCAUUGAGCAACUGACAACUUUUUGGUAGUUAAAGGGACUCCCAAAUAUUUGAAAGGGAGGUCCCCUUUAACAUAACUAAGAUGAUCAAGAAUUUGCUGUUGAAUCUCAAUUGACACCCCACCAAAAUACAGAGCACUUUUGUGUAAAUUAGCCUUAAGACCAGUAGCAGCAAGGAAU
rnacentral:lncRNA from 1 species